rnacentral:rRNA from 1 species
UACGGGGGGGGCAAGCGUUGUUCGGAAUUACGGGGCGUAAAGGGCUCGUAGGGGGCCAACUAAGUCAGACGUGAAAUCCCUCGGCUUAACCGGGGAACUGCGUCUGAUACUGGAUGGCUUGAGUUUGGGAGAGGGAUGCGGAAUUCCAGGUGUAGCGGUGAAAUGCGUAGAUAUCUGGAGGAACACCGGUGGCGAAGGCGGCAUCCUGGACCAACACUGACGCUGAGGAGCGAAAGCCAGGGGAGCAAACGGG